GAUGAACGCUAGCUACAGGCUUAACACAUGCAAGUCGAGGGGAAACGAUGAGAGAGCUUGCUCUCUUAGGCGUCGACCGGCGCACGGGUGAGUAACGCGUAUCCAACCUGCCCAUUACAGGGGAAUAACCUUGCGAAAGUAAGACUAAUGCCCCAUGGUAUUCUCAGCAGACAUCUAAUGAGGAUUAAAGAUUUAUCGGUAAUGGAUGGGGAUGCGUCUGAUUAGCUUGUUGGCGGGGUAACGGCCCACCAAGGCAACGAUCAGUAGGGGUUCUGAGAGGGAGGUCCCCCACAUUGGAACUGAGACACGGUCCAAACUCCUACGGGAGGCAGCAGUGAGGAAUAUUGGUCAAUGGACGAGAGUCUGAACCAGCCAAGUAGCGUGCAGGAAGACGGCCCCUAUGGGUUGUAAAACUGCUUUUAUAAG
rnacentral:rRNA from 1 species